rnacentral:lncRNA from 1 species
AAAAACUGAAAAUCCUUUCUCCCUUUUCUCUCAAGCCUUUAGGCAGACCAUAGCUCCGCCGCCGGGUCCGUUGACUGCCACACACGGUGGCCGGGGCUCAAAAGGUAAGUUUUGCUUCCUUUUUUUCUAUAUUACUGAUAUAUAAGCAGUUUUUUUUAAAAAGAAAAUAUGAAAAAUAUAAGUAUAUGUAUAUGCAGUUUUGAAGAAGAAAAAUAAAAAAUAAAAAAUGAUAAACUUGAACCGAUUUCCUCUGUUUUUUAUUUCAAAAAGAAAAAUCCCCUUUUUACGUUGGUUUUCUUUCGGUUUUAUAGCCGAUUUACAAGUCCCUAUUUUACUAUUGUUUUCACUACUGUUGCCUGCUGCCUUGCUCUGCUCUGUUUCCUUUUCUUCUAUUUGCAGGUCUUUGGAAGUGAUGGGAAGGGGCCACAGGGUGGUUGAAAGUUGUCAGACGUCACGUGGGUGAGCGAAGCGGUGCAAAUGGGGAACCCUAGGGUUCCUCAGAAAGUGUUAAAUUUCUGGGCCAGGCUGGUGUUUUAGUUUGGGCCUGUAGGUUGUUGUUUUAGGCUUUGGGUUUAGGUAUUUGGUCUUAUUUAUUUAGUUGUUGGGCCGGGAAAAUUGGGCUUAUAACAGUAGAGGCCUAAUUUAGCCCGGGGCCCAUAAACCAAAAACUAAAAUCAAAAAUUAAAAAUAAUAAUAAACAGUUCUUUUUCACAAUGGCCCAACAGGCCCAUCAACCUUAGCCCAGCUAAACCCCAAACUAAAACAAGCCAAAAAUGGCCCAAACCUAAACUAGUUUCAUCAUCCAAGAAACCCUAGCAAUAGUGUACGCCGCUACCCAUGUGCGUCGUACCCCUGCUCCAGUACGCACGCCGCUCGAAGCUCUCCUCCAUCAAUGCCUGUAAACAAGCAACAGAAAGGGAACAGAGACAAGGCAACACGCAAAUAAUACGAAAAGCAAAAUAAAACAGUGGCUAAAUGGUACUAAACAAUAGCAAAGGCAGUGAAAAAGAAAAGAAAUAUGUAUUUUUUAAAAUGAAAAAUGGCUAUAAAGGCCAGAGGAUGGUUUGUAUUUUAGGGUUUUUUUUUUGCAAUACAAAAAAAAGAUUGUAUCACAGAUUUUUCAGAAAUCAAAAGCAAAAUAAAAAAGAGGUUGAUCUUGAUUUUAUCUUCUUUUUUUCUUUUCUUUUUCCCUAUUCUUUCUUUUUAUAUAUUAUUACAAAUCUAUUUUCAAGUAAAAAAACCAAAAAAAAAGGAAGGGAAAGGGGACUUACCCGAGUCCGAUCUUGGCGUGGCUCCGACCACCGUCCACGGUGGAGCCAAGGCUGUUCGACGAUGGUGCGAUGAUGGGUUUUCAAAACCCUAGCAGAGAAGGAAAAUGAAAAAAGAAGGGGAGGGGCUGCUCUCUGUUUUUAGAAAAAGAAAGGAAGAAAAUAAAAAAAAAAAUUUAAAAGUUUUUUGGCUUUAACAGCCUUGCAAAACGACCAUGUUUUGCUUUCCCCCCAUACACCUCGAAACGGUGUUGUUUAGGGGGGGAACCCGCGCGACCUGACCCACGAACAAGGAGGAUCCGCGUGUUUCCAUUUUUUGGUUUAUUUACGUGCGUGGUCUCUCGCUUUUGAGGCGCGCUUCAGUUUAGUCCUUUUUUACUUUUUCUCCUUACAGGUUUGGCCAUCGAAUUUACGGUGUGUUUCAAUUUAGUCCCUGACUCGCUGAGCAGGGACACAUGUCCAAAGGAUUGGUUUAUUUCCUCCUUUGACCCUCGCUUGUUUUCGCUCGUUACAUUUUAGCCCCUUUAUUCCUUUAUUUAUUUAUUUAUUUCAAUUUGUCCCUCUAAUUUCAUUCAAGUUACAAUUAAC